GUGAGUCCAGCUGGGGAGGGGACUGAAGCAAGAAAGCAGAAUGUGCCCUAUCUCUAGGAAGCAGCCUGAGGGGAGGAAUGUGCCAGCCCUGGUUGGGGGAUUGACUGAACCAGUGAGCAGUAGCAGCGGCAUACUUGCACAGAGGACUGCCUGCUGAGCCCAGCCAGGCUGAAGGACCCCUAACAGUCUUCAAAUCCUCAUUACUAUGGUCAUCUGAUUUCCUACACUAGAUGGCCUGUCCCUGCCUCUAAUGCAAAAGAUCCAGUAUGUGAAAGUUUAUUUCUACUUAUCUUUCCAGCUGUCGUCGUGGGUGGGGAAUUCAGUGAAGAAAUGAACCAUGAUCAACUUACUCCCCAGCCUUAAAUAGAAUUUACAUAAGAUCUAACCAGGGUGUGUACUAAAACCCGUAAUCUGCCCCACACCACUUUACUCUCCAUUUGGAAGGAGAUCUACAACGACUGUGCCAUGGACACUGUGUUGCUCCCAUAUCUAUAAUAUAGAAUGAGACCAGGUCAAAAAAAGCACGUAAGGAACUGUCUGUAUACACGCUCAAGGGAUGUCAGGGCUCUCCUGCAAUGGCAGCUAUGGGUGAGGAAAGAGUGGCUGCGCAUCAUGCAAUUUUUCUACUUUCAUAACUGACACAGCAAGCCCAGAGGUGCCAGGGCUAUGAACUUGCAAGCUUAGAUGUGCUGCAGCUCAGCCCUGGCACUGGCUAUAGUGCUAUGACUAGCCCCCAUCACACCACAUGGCUCCAGGGACAUACAUACUAAAAGCAAUACAGGAAUAAUAUUCUACAAAGCCACAAUACCUAACCCAGCCUUUCCUCCCCCCCACCAAUCCUGUUUGUGAUCCAUAGCAGGUUUUGUCAGUUCCCUUAGCUUUUGAGUCUUUUACCCCAUCCUAGAGCAUUCCCCUUCCAUCUCCAGCUUGCUCAAAUGAGUUUGUAUUUACCUGCUUCUAGGGGGCCACCAGGUCCCACCAGUUCAUACAGGAACCCGAUCUCAUCCAUCCAUCCCACUCUCUCACCUUCACAUCACUACAGGGUGCUGCCUUAAUUCCACUACUCCCAUUAAAGUAGCAUAUCACUAAUCCAUAACUGAAAGUACCAUACUCCUCACAUCAACGUCACUUUGGGCAUAAUACCACACUAGUCCAAGGGACUCCACAUUGAGAUCAGACCACUUCCAGAUGGCCACAGAGCAACAGCAGGGUUGUGUGAUUUGUAAUGGAUCCUUGAACAAAACUCCCUUUCCUCCUGCACCAAAGACAAA